rnacentral:tRNA from 1 species
GGGCCCGUAGCUCAGUUGGUAGAGCACCCGGCUUUUAACCGGGGGGUCACGGGUUCGAAACCCGCCGGGCCCGC